GGGAAUGAGGCUUAGUGGUAGAGUGCUUGCCUAGUAUGCAUGAAGCCGUGAAUUUGAUUCCUCAGUACCA
rnacentral:tRNA from 1 species